rnacentral:rRNA from 1 species
UACGAAGGGGGCUAGCGUUGCUCGGAAUCACUGGGCGUAAAGGGUGCGUAGGCGGGUCUUUAAGUCAGAGGUGAAAUCCUGGAGCUCAACUCCAGAACUGCCUUUGAUACUGAAGAUCUUGAGUUCGGGAGAGGUGAGUGGAACUGCGAGUGUAGAGGUGAAAUUCGUAGAUAUUCGCAAGAACACCAGUGGCGAAGGCGGCUCACUGGCCCGAUACUGACGCUGGAGGCACGAAAGCGUGGGGAGCAAACAGG